CGCCCUACAGGAAACUGGCGCUUGGCAGUGAUCUGAUGUCAUACAGAAUGAGUAUACGAAUGGCGAUUAAAAUCGAUUCAAGCAAUCAAAAGUUAAGAUAAUUUGAAAAUAUUACACAGGAUUUUGGAAGAUAAAUGGGCAUUUUAUAUAUUUAUACACUAUAAUCUGAUUAGAAAUGUGUCAUCACGCCACACGAGUUUGGCAUGUAUAGUAAAACAGAGGAAGCAUAUCACACUAGUGGUUUGCAUGUGAUUAUCUUGCGCUAGGAUUCGCUAUGCAUGUUCCGUGUGAAAAUAAAUCCCAAAGUACACAUGUUUAACGCGCAAUUACGAGGAACUUUGAUAAUCACCGCGCCAACAAUUCGCAUUCGGGAAAAUAAGUCGGAAAAAGAUAUAUCAUGUGUCUCCAAAAACUGGACACGAUUUCAUGUAACGUAAAAGCUAU